rnacentral:rRNA from 1 species
UGACGCUGGCGGCAGGCCUAACACAUGCAAGUCGAGCGGCAGCACAAGGGAGUUUACUCCUGAGGUGGCGAGCGGCGGACGGGUGAGUAAUGCCUAGGGAUCUGCCCAGUCGAGGGGGAUAACAGUUGGAAACGACUGCUAAUACCGCAUACGCCCUACGGGGGAAAGAAGGGGACCUUCGGGCCUCUCGCGAUUGGAUGAACCUAGGUGGGAUUAGCUAGUUGGUGAGGUAAUGGCUCACCAAGGCGACGAUCCCUAGCUGUUCUGAGAGGAUGAUCAGCCACACUGGGACUGAGACACGGCCCAGACUCCUACGGGAGGCAGCAGUGGGGAAUAUUGCACAAUGGGGGAAACCCUGAUGCAGCCAUGCCGCGUGUGUGAAGAAGGCCUUCGGGUUGUAAAGCACUUUCAGUAGGGAGGAAAGGGUGAGUCUUAAUACGGCUCAUCUGUGACGUUACCUACAGAAGAAGGACCGGUUAACUCCGUGCCAGCAGCCGCGGUAAUACGGAGGGUCCGAGCCUUAAUCGGAUUACUGGCCC